UAGAGGGUAAUGAAAAGUACAUGCAUAUCAUAGAUUGAUGGAUUAAGAUAAUGAUAAAGAAGUUUAAGUCCACAGCCAAACUAUUUUAUCUGGAGUAUGAUCAAAAGGGCAUGUCUAAAUCAAAAUCUAGAAAUUUACAUGGAACAGCCAGAUUUUGGAAAGCUUUCCUCAUAUGUGAUUUAUUAUUAUGUCAUCAACUAUCAUGGGUAAAUGUCCUUAGAUCUAUG
rnacentral:misc_RNA from 1 species